AAUGGCGGCUAGGAACCUCCACACAGGACCAUGGUAGCUGCAAUGAGGGUGAGUUGAGAAAGAGCUACCAUUGUAUAUCAUACAAGCUCAAGGGCCUGAGACAUACAAAGCACAAACGGAUCAAUAACCAGGUCUUUCUUUCUCCUGAUCAGGGCAGGAGCCAUUUACGGUGAGUCUGGGGAGAGAAGUCUUGAACACCAAAAUACCCCUACCGUUUUACAAGUCUUAGUCAACCAAGUCUCAAAGAAUAGAGAGUGGAAGAGGUUGGUCCAAAACCAGACAGCGCUCAUUCAGUGAUCGUACAUUUUGGAAUGUAAGGGUGGUUGGAAUGGACUGUUUCUAUAUGGGGAACUAAAGCCAGGGUUCAAGAAACCUGUGGGAACGAUCGUACAACAUUAGAAGUUCCUUGGUUUAGUAGAGAAAAAGACUCUACACACCCAAAGGAUUGUGUAUUGACCAUCAUUGGUUUAACUGUCUCCUGACGGGGGCUGGAGGAUGCUCUUCAAGACGUUAAGAGGCAGACUGUGGGUGUGCGUUGAGGGGGAUGUAACUCCGUGGGAAGGCUGUGCAAGCAUGAGGACCUGGGUUCAGGUCCCAGCGCCUACAUAAAACCUGGGAGGCUGGAGCUUCUAUCACUAACUUCAGCAGUGCUAGGGGAGGGAUGGAGACAGGUGGAUUCUGGGGGCUGGCUGCCAGCCAGUCUAGAUGAAACAGUAAGUUCUAGGUUCAGUUGGAGUCUGUUUCAAAAAAUAAGGAGGAAAAGCCAGGUGGUGGUGGCACACACCUUUAAUCCUAGCACUUGGGAGGUGGAGGCAGGUGGACCUCUGUGUUCGAGGUCAGCCUGGUCUGCAGAGCGAGUUCCAGGUCGGCCAGGGCUACACAGAGAUCCUGUCUCCAAACAAAGAAACAAAAACGAAGAGGAAAUCGAUAAAGGAAGCCACCUCCUAGUGACCUCUGUUCUCUAUGUGUUGAUACACACAUUUAUACAUACAUCACACACACACACACACACACACACACACACACACACACACACACACACACACACACAAUGUGAGGGGAGGGCACAGCAACGCACUUGGACAGCUCAGGAGAGGCUGGUUGUCGCGCAGGAAUGAAGUAGAAGUGCAGCCAUGAGGCAGCGCGAAGGAUUGAAGAGAUGCUGGUGGGCCGGACGUCACGUGAUUAGGCAGGCUGGUGAUUGACAGGUCAUGUCACCACUGUUGUUAGCCCAACUCCACCGAACUGGACCGCUGGUGUAUAUGCGAAGCAUUGAGAAUGGAUUGAGCUGCCACUGCCUGCUGACCUGUGAACUGAAAGCUGAUUCCAGACAACACAGGUCCCCAUAGAAGAUGCCUUGGACAAGUGGUCCACCAUGGAAGGGACACGUCCUAGUUGCUCAGGAUUCUGACGUAAAUCCAAGCUGAGUAUGAACUUAUAACCUGAAGCAUCAAGCCAUCCUUGGUUCUACCUGUCCCAGUAAGGUGCUGCAGAAGUAGGGCAGCAUCACCAAACUGCCACACAAGAAAACUAAAAAUUUAACACAGAUACAGUUGAAAAGACUUAAGAGUGAAAGAAACCCCAAAACCAAAUUCAAGCGAAAGCCAUAUAUAUAUAUAUCCUGAGGAUUUACCCAUGUACCAUGUAGAGCUUCUAAAAAUAAAAAUCAUGGUUACUAGAAUGCAGGCAGGAUGGACAGCAAGUUAAACACAGUUAAAGAGAGAAUUACUGCUUUGGAAGUCAGAAUUGGGAAAACUAUCCAGAAUGCAAAAUGUUUCCAGGUAUAGCUUAGUGGUGGAGUGCUUGCUAAACAUGCACAAAGUCUUGGGAGAGAGAGAGGGAGAAAAGAAGAAGGAGAAGGAGGAGGAGGAGGAGGAGGAGGAGGAGGAGGAGG